rnacentral:misc_RNA from 1 species
GAUGAAGAACGUAGCGAAAUGCGAUAAGUAAUGUGAAUUGCAGAAUUCAGUGAAUCAUCGAAUCUUUGAACGCACCUUGCGCCUUUUGGUAUUCCGAAAGGCACACCUGUUUGAGCGUCAUGAAUACCUCAAUCUCCAUCUUUUCUUCGGAUUGAUGGGUGACUUGGAUGUUGAGCCCUGCUGGUAUGCUAUAUCAGCUGGCUUUAAACUUAUUAGCCGGCUCUGUACUGGAUCGGUUUGACUCGACGUGAUAAUAUUAUCGUUGAGGAUGCAUGUCUCAUGCAGCCGGAAAGUAUCAAAGCAGCUUCUAGCUUGCCUUUAGUGCACUUUUACAUUUUAGACCUCAGAACAGGUGGGACUACCCGCUGAACUUAAGCAUAUCAAUAAGCGGAGGA